AUGGAUUAUACGUGAAACUGCGAAUGGCUCAUUAAAUCAGUUAUAGUUUAUUUGAUAAUAUCCCUUACUUGGAUACCCGUAAUAAUUUUAGAGCUAAUACAUGCGUAAAAGUGCGACUUUUCGGAAGCACUGUAUUUAUUAGAUACAAAACCAUCCAGCUUCGGCUGCUACCUUGGUGAUUCAUAAUAACUUAACGAAUCGUAUGACUUUAUGUCGACGAUGAUUCAUUCAAAUUUCUGCCCUAUCAACUUUCGAUGGUAAGGUAUUGGCUUACCAUGGUUACAACGGGUGACGGAGAAUUAGGGUUCGAUUCCGGAGAGGGAGCCUGAGAAACGGCUACCACUUCUACGGAGGGCAGCAGGCGCGCAAAUUACCCAAUCCUGACUCAGGGAGGUAGUGACGAAUAAUAACGAUACGUGACUUCGGUCUAGUAAUUGGAAUGAGUACAAUUUAAACCCCUUAAUGAAAGCCAUUGGAGGGCAAGUCUGGUGCCAGCAGCCGCGGUAAUUCCAGCUCCAAUAGCGUAUAUUAAAGUUGUUGCAGUUAAAAAGCUCGUAGUUGGAUGUUGUGGUUUGUUAAAUUCGGUGCCUUUUGGUACCCGUUUUAGCAGCUACUUUUUCUCGAGGCAUAUGGGUGCACUUAACCGUGUGUUUAUAUUGUUCGGGACUUUUACCGUGAGAAAAUUAGAGUGUUCAUAGCAGGCUAGUGCUUGAAUAUUACAGCAUGGAAUAAUGGAAUAGGAUCAUGAUCUUAUUUUGUUGGUUUCUAAGAUCAAGAUAAUGAUUAAU
rnacentral:rRNA from 1 species